rnacentral:lncRNA from 1 species
CAUCUCUCCCUGCCUAGGGGUCUCUAUCCCUACAGGGCUAUAGGUUUUUCUAUUACAUGGAGACUCAGGUUAUGGAACCCCAAGACAUGAGCUCACUUCCUUGGCAACAUCUCCAAACAGAACUUGGAACCCUGUUAAUGGGUGUCACAAUCUAGUAACAGCUGUCUCCCAAGCUCACUUGGCUGGAGAUGGUCCACAGCAAACAUGCUGAGCUGCUUCUCCACUUUGAGAGGCCACAGCCUCAGGACCCCAGGUAGAGAAAGUAUCUGUGAAAGAUUAAGAAGACAGCUGACUCCAUCCAGAUGCCGCAUGACUGUCACAAACACCCCAGGGAUGGUCUCCCCAGGAGUGACCACCAGUGACCUACCAAAAUCAAGGGGCUUUGCUGAUGUUCAGGAGUGUCCAUUCUUUCAAAAUGUGGACUGGGACAUGAUGGAGAGAUCGGAAGAAACUAAGGAGAUGAAAGGCCAGGGGAAUGGUGCGUGCAAGGCUCAAGACAGAAAGGAUGGCUCGGGGAGGACCAGGAGAAGCCCCCAGUGUGGCUGGAGCACAGGAAGUGAAGGAGAGGGAGGGAGGAAGCCAGGACACUGGCGGCCUAUUGGGCUACAGAGGUGUGGUUUUGAUUCCCCGGGCUGCAAAAAGCUGCUGAAGGUUUGAGCAUUGACAGAAAUGAUUUGGAACUGACCACAUCCCCCUGACUGAGACCAACUAGUGAACUCUCCAAGUAACUGGGCCCUGGCUUUAAACAAGCCCUUCUCUGCCCUCCUAUUGCAGGGUGGACACUGGGCUGUCAGAAAUCCCAGACACCCUCGAGAUUUCCUAACUUUCCAUCACCUCAUCCACUUUCAGGUGUUGGAGCUCAACAUUAAAAGCCUCUUCCUGGCUGAGACCUGACAAAGCAGAAAAGCCAACCUCAUGACAUCUGCCAUAGAGAUCAUCCAGCAGAUCUUUAAAUUAAAACCCAGACUUCCUUGCCUGCCUCCUCCAACCCCCAAACAACCAGUUAAGCAACAGGCGUUCACUGGUGAAGAGCACAUUCAUCAGAAUCGACAGAGGUGCAUAGUCUUCAUUUACCAAAGACACAAUUAACCCUAAUUAGGGCUCAUCCAUCUUCUUCCCAUCAUUCCACCCCCCAGGUGGAGUGGAAACCCCAACUCACUGCCCACUUUAAUGUGGGAAGUGGAAAGUGUUUCACAGGAGUACAAGGACCCAGAGCCUGUGUGGUGUUGCCACUCGGGCUCUGUCCUCAUUUAUCACGGAGGAGGCCAUGGAGUAAGGAGAAAAAGUGAACAUCUGAGGAGAUGUGGGGAAUAUGUCUGUUCCAGUAGGAAGUGUGGGGCCUGGGCCCCUUUCUGCCUGCAGAAGGACUAUCUUUCCUUGGUUGCUUUAAAGGAUUCCUGGUUCCUGCUCUACUUCUUUCCUUUCGGUUGCCCCAUAAAUAUUUAUUGAACAGUUAAGGUGUGUGAUGCAAAGAUUUCUUGUUGGAUUCUUUUCUGGUGUAGUAAAGUGAAAACAACAUGAAUGGUGAAGUCAGAAGGCUUCUGAUUUGCUGAGUGGGGUGAGACAUGGCUGUAAUCCCAGCCAUGGGGGAGGCGGAGGCAGGAAGAUUGAAAGUUUGAAGUCAGCCUGGGCAACUUAGCAAGACCCUGUCCCAAAAUACAGUUGAAAGGACUGCGAAUGUGGCUCAGGGGCAGAGUUCCUUUUUAGCAAUCUAUGGGCUGCUCUGAGGAUUUAAUGUGUAAUGAAUACAACAGUUCUGAACACUAAAUGAUGUCUGGCCUUCAGAAUUGCUCUGGUUUGUGGAUGGAUCUGCUUGGGUCACUCUCAAGCUACAGCCAGUGGAAGCCUGUGGUGGUCAGCUGUCACCAGUACCUACCCCAUCCGAUACCCUUCCCACACCCCUAACAAUGUCUUCCAAUAGCCAUAGGCUUUUAUAAAAUCUGUAAAAUAAAGAGAUUUUAGUGGCAAUUGAUGGAGAUCACUGGCUUUCUCUCUGACUUCCCAUCAACUGAGUAGUAAGGAGUUGGUGCUAGGCAUUUUUGAUAUCUGACUAAAGGAAGUUGAAUUGGGAAUACAAUGAGUUUGGAUUGAACAGCAUAUACAUAUAGGAUUUGCAGUCACCCCCAGUUGUAGUUAGGUUUUCCUAGGACUCUUGAUGUGAGAAUGGUCCAGAAAUUCUAACCUUGUGGCACCAACUCACCCAGUGUCAGAAACCAAAGGUGCAGGGCCAAGGGACAAACUGUGAUCUGAACACAUCCCACAGGACCCAGUAUCUGAAAUACAUGGCAGCAGGGCUGGGGAUUUAGCUCAGUGGUUUCGCCGCCUGCUGUGCAAGUGCAAGGACCCGAGUUCGAUCCCCGGUACCAAGAAAAAGAAAUACAUGGCAGCAGUGGAGGGGAAAUAGGCUUAAAAUAAAUGAAACCAAAAACUAUUCUUCAGAAAGUUAUUCUGAUCAUCAGAUAGGUGCAAAUGUAGUGGAAGAACUGGUUCUCAUUGAUACAUAGUUAAAAUAGAAGUUUUGCUACUGUCAAAAAUAUGCUAGAGGGCAGGGGAUUUAGCUCAGUGGUUCUGCCACCUUCCUUGAAAGCGCAAGGACCUGAGUUUGAUCCCCCAUACCAAAAAAUUAAUUAAUUAAUUAACUAAAAAAAGAAAAAUGUUUUCAAAAAAAUACACUCGAGAGUAUAGCAUAUCUGAUCACUAGUUAUAUUAUAACAUGAUUAUAAUGAAUAUUUCUUUUUUGACAGAAAUCUCAUAAAACAGAGUUGGUCUCAAGGCCUGAUCUGCAGGGCAUACCCCUGUGGCAUGUUAUCAGCAACAAGCAGACUGUGUGUGAAGUCCUGGACCUUCUGCGUUGGAUCAGCUCAGCUCUCCGCCUAUCUGCUGCACUUUUGUGGAUGGCUUGUUGGUUGAUGAAAGACACGCAACCUCACCAGACACUGAGAUGUGGCGUGAAGAAGCAAACACUCCUGUGUUGAAACUUCUGUGCUUAUUCAAUAAUAAAUCAUGCAAGUAAUGCAAAAGCAAUUUGAUUAUAUGUGUGUCAUUCAAUACAAGAAAAAUUUAAAAUUCUUUUUCUGUAUGCCUCAAUUUUGGAUGAAUUUUGUGGGGUUUUUUUCAGAAUUACCAAUCAUAGUUGGGCAUGGUGGCUCAUGCCUGUAAUCCCAGCACUCAGGAGGCUGAGGCAGGAAAAUUGUCGAAAGUUCAAGACCAGCCUGGGCCACAUAGUGUGCUCAAGGCCAGCCUGACUUACAUACCAUUUUUUUUGUCUGAAAAAAAAAACACCAAUCAUAAAGAUUACCCCCCUAAAUUAUUGAGGCAUGUUGGACAGUUAAUGAAUAAAAAUGUGUUUUUAUAAAUUUGAUGUUUGUAAUAUUUGCAGCAGUUUUAUAGUUGAUUUCUUUUAUAUGGUUUUCUUUU